rnacentral:tRNA from 1 species
ACCGACGUAGCUCAGCGGCAGAGCGCCGGGCUCAUAACCCGUCAGGCCCUGGUUCGAGUCCAGGCGUCGGUA